GACAGAGGGUGCAAACGUUGCUCGGAAUUACUGGGCGUAAAGCGCGUGUAGGUGGAUUGGUGUGUCAGAUGUGAAAUCCCUGGGCUCAACCCAGGAACUGCACCUGAAACUACCAGUCUUGAGUGGUGGAGAGGGAAGUGGAAUUCCUGGUGUAGAGGUGAAAUUCGUAGAUAUCAGGAGGAACACCAGUGGCGAAGGCGGCUUCCUGGACACCAACUGACGCUGAGGGGCGAAAGUGUGGGGAGCGAACAGG
rnacentral:rRNA from 1 species